rnacentral:lncRNA from 1 species
AAGAAAUUCCUGGAACUUUGUUUUAUUGGCAUUGAGAAAAGAGUAAGGACGUUAAAUAGGAUGAAGGGAAGAUUGUUUUACAUUAUUUUUAAUAGCUCUCUUUAAGUGUAAAUCAAUGAGGUUGAUUGUAUGAUCAUUCAAAGACAUUUUAAAAGUCACCUUGUAUUAUUUUUAUUUUUAACUGUAUUCUCAGGAAUUGGCACUGUUCUUAAAAUUAACAGGAUUUUAAAAAUUUCCCUAAAGGAUGUUAACAUUUGUUUUUCUCAAUA